CCUACGGGAGGCAGCAGUGGGGAAUAUUGGACAAUGGGCGCAAGCCUGAUCCAGCCAUACCGCGUGGGUGAAGAAGGCCUUCGGGUUGUAAAGCCCUUUUGUUGGGAAAGAAAUCCAGCCGGCUAAUACCUGGUUGGGAUGACGGUACCCAAAGAAUAGGCACCGGCUAACUUCGUGCCAGCAGCCGCGGUAAU
rnacentral:rRNA from 1 species